GAGAACCUAACGACCCGACACACUCAGAUGGAUCGUUCGAUCGGGAUUCAGAGUUACCACUUUUCGAUGUCCCAGGAGGGGGCAUGGAGGAUUGAGGGAAUCUGUUAUACCUACACAGACCCUUGUACUUUUUGAUUAGUGUACUUGUGUAGGGAAUUUAUUUUGUACUAGUUUUUAUUUGGGUGACGAUUAGGAUUUCGCCUUGUACUUGUACCAACAUUUUCUAAUGAAUAAUGGUUGUGAUUUUCCGCAUUGUAUGUUACUUAAGUGA